rnacentral:rRNA from 1 species
UACGAAGGGAGCGAGCGUUGUUCGGAAUCACUGGGCGUAAAGCGCACGUAGGCGGAUUUGCCAGUCAGGGGUGAAAUCCCGGGGCUCAACCUCGGAACUGCCUUUGAUACAGCAAGUCUUGAGUUCGAGAGAGGUGGGUGGAAUUCCUAGUGUAGAGGUGAAAUUCGUAGAUAUUAGGAAGAACACCGGUGGCGAAGGCGGCCCACUGGCUCGACACUGACGCUGAGGUGCGAAAGCGUGGGGAGCAAACAGG